CUUCACGGAAAGGGCGCAGAGUCGCCAUCUUAAGUUUCACAAAAGUCGAUUAAAUCACCGUUUAACUACCGUAACACAUCACCAAACUACAUAAAACGUUCGCAAAUCACACACUAACCGUGUUUCGCAGCCCGUUCGCGACCAAUAACAUGGUUCGACUCGGCGGAAGGAGACUGAAAACCGAGCCCAUGCAUCGACACACCAAGGCCUUGGGUCUCAUACUCGUGUUCAUGUUAACGCGUAUCUGAUAUAAACCAGAAACGAGAACCAAAGUGGUGCCGCUCCGUUUUCGCAUAACGUUGUCACAACAACUAUACACUGCCAAGUCAGAACGAAACCGUGGGACAGCAACCGCCGAAUGACACAGCACUUUGCUCAGCCCUCUCUUUGACCUUAAACAUAGAGUCCCAAGACUCCCAACUGCCACGAAUAAACCCAAGGUGUUGCGGGAAUUUCGCUUCUUCCACUGCAUCUGAACGUAAUUGCCGACACUGUCACGCUGUCUUCCAGUAAAACGUCUCAGUGCGCAUGCGUACCUGCCAGGCAAAGCAUGGAAACUGCCAUCGGGUGAGCUGAUCCAGGACCAGUUUUGUGACGUAAUAAGAGUAACGACAAUGCAAUGUGUCCGUCUUUCUGUCUGUGCGUAUGUAUGUAUGUAUGUGUAUGUGUGUAUGUAUGUAUGUAUGUAGGCCUAUGUAAUGUAUGUAUUCUUCUCGUGGUUUGUAUCGGCGUUGUCAUGAACCCGCAGCAGCAAUCUCCCCUAGAGCUUUUUGUGAUCUACUCGAAUAGGCUGAAAUACUGUGGAGUUACCUAGACCUAUAUACGCCUGCAGGCCGCCUCUCGCUCCAGGGUGCAGCCCGACUGCAGACCUUCAGGAUCGAACCCGGGACCUUUGGUCUGGAAACACAACCACACCAGACCAUCC
ensembl:lncRNA